ACUUUAAGUCAAAAUCUGGAACUGACUAAGCUUAGCAAAGAAGGCAUGUCAACAGCUGAGAUGGGCCAAAAGCUAGGCCUCUGGUGCCAGUUAGCCAAGUUGUGAAUGCAAAGGAAAAGUUAUUGAAGGAAAUUAAAUAUUCUACUGCAGUGAACACACGCAUAAUAAGAAAGCAAUACAGCCUCAUUGCUGAUAUGAAGACAGUUUUAGUGGUCUGGAUAGAAGAUCAAAUCAGCCACAACAUUCCCUUAAAAGCCAAAGCUUAAUACAGAGUGAGGCCUUUAACUCUUUUCAAUUCUAUAACUUAAUUCUAUUGCACACUUAAUAGACUACAGUAUUGUAUAAACAUAACUUUUUUUAAUGUUCUCAAAGCUUUAAUUUAGAAAGAUACCAUGUUAAUUACAUAGCUUCAGUCUCAACGUACAAGCAGAGUACAGUAGGUAUUUAAAACUGAAUGAAGGAGACCUCUAGAAUUAAAAUUUUUACUAGGAAGAGUUCUCACCUGGGUUCAUUAGUGGCAGAACUUUCUCCUGAAAUGCAAAUAAAACAAAAUUCAUUUCAGAGAAGGAAGCUUUAUCUCUUAAAAUUUUGACAUGAUUUAACUACGUAUAAUCAGCUGGUAAGACAUAAGAUAUAGAAGAGUAAUCCAAUUGUAUUUCAUCUAAAUGGCUACUUAUUUAUUCCAACACAACUAGUUGUUAGUAAAAUAAUUCAUUCUUUUUUUCCCACUGAUUUAAAAUGCCACUUCAAAUGGCAAACCCGUCAUGCACUGGUAACUGUUUCUUUAUUUUCUAUUCUGUUCUAUUGUCUCUUUGUCUAUUCAUGUACCUGUACAAUGUUGUUUUAACUAUCC
rnacentral:lncRNA from 1 species